rnacentral:lncRNA from 1 species
AUGAUUCUUCGUUGACCCCCAGAUCAGAGGCCAACGAAGAAUCUUAAGUUUUAAAUAUAGGGUAAAAGUACCGAAUAUGAGUCCAUUCCCUUAUAUGAGACCCCAGUCUAUUUGGCCCCAUAGAUGCUGGUAUCUAACGGUAAGCAUUAUAACUUGUAGCAAUCACCAUUUUAGGUAUUCGGAGUGUGUAAGAAGAACCUGCCCAGACCAAGCGUGUUUCUGUUCCUUUUUAAGUGUUUUUCAGCUUUUGGAGUUUUUGAAGCGUAUAGGAUCACGUCGAUAUUCCAUAACAAAGAUAAGAUAUCUUUCUUUAAGUUUAAAACUAUUGGGUAGUGGAAGGAACAAAGAAAUUAGUAAGUAGGCUGAACGUCAUUGUAUGCUUAAUCUAGCCUGAUACAAGGUGGCUUUUCUUGUAGUAUCUAAAGUGCCUAAUACGAGACCCUCAAUGGAUCCUAAUAUGAUACAGGGUCUCAUAUUCGGAUCGCAUUUAUUUUAAUUUAUGGUUGUUUUAGAAAUUGAAAAAUAAAACCUAAAAUGAUAUGUUCACAAAUUGCAUUUAUUAAAAAAACCCAAAUUAUGUUAAUUUAUGUAAUAAGGCUGACUUUUCUACAUUGGUUCUUCCUGAAUAUUGUUCACAUAGAUAUUUCCACCACAAAGAAGAUGGAAGACGUGGGAUACUGUUCUGAUGAUUCGUGCAGUUCAGUUAGUACGAAGCGGAGAAAUGGGCUACAAGAGAGCAGCAAAACAUUUGCAGGUACCUAAGGGAAUGCUUGAGAAUUAUGUUAAAGACACCACUAAAUCUCCAGAUUCUCUAGUCCUAGUAAACCUAGGCAGAAAGCCAGCUUUAAAAAAAGAACUGGAAAAUAUGCUCAUUAAAUACUGCAUCGAAAUGGAUAAGAGAUACUAUGGUUAUUUUUUGCAGGAAUCUGUAUUCAGAAGACAAAAGAGGUGAACAAUGUACCAAGUGUUACAUGUGGGCUCAUGAACUUUGCGGAGCAGACGAUCGUUUUAUUUGUCCUAAUUGCUCAAAAAAAGAAAAAAACAUUUCAAUAGGAAAGAAAUAAAGAAUUUUAAUUUAAAUAAGCAAAACAACCAUAUUAUUAUUAUAUUUAAGAAAUAAAAUAACGGGUCUCAUAUUAAGCACCCAUUUUGAGAAUACAAGAUUUUGCACUUUUUUAUAUUUUCUAUAUUUUUAAGAAUUAAUUUGAUUGUAACAGUUAUGAAUAUGUUAUAUAUUGUACCAAAGUAAAGCUUCUUUAAGGAAAUGAAUUAAUACAGUUUUGUUUUCAAAAAUUAUAGCUUUUAGAGAACUUUUAAAAAAAGGGUCUCAUAUUCGGCACCUUUACCCUAUGUACGUAUGUAUUCAAUACUUAGAAUCUUAAAUUUUAAGUAGUGUUGUGUAGCUUUAAACAUUUAUAUUUUGCUUUUAAUUGUAAUUUAUGUAUAAAUUAAAAUGUUAUCUUCCAGUUUUCCUGUUUCGAAUAUUUUUUUAUUCAUUUUAUCUUCCAUUAUUACUCUCGGUUUUUUAGAAAUUUACGAAAUUUUCGAACACAAAGAUACAUGUUAAUUAAAGGAAUUAAGUGUGAUCAUGUAUUUCAUAUUGGCUAAUUUCACUUAAAACAUUAAGUUGUUCAGCUUCCGACAUAUUUAAUUGUUUUUAGUCGUUACUCCCCUUUUUUGUGAACUAGUGAUCAGCGUAACCAGAUCGAAUGAUUUAUUUCAAAUUGGGAGUUUUGGCUUACAUUUAUGCAGCCAAAAACCUUAACCUCUGACUCUAAUUUUAAAAGUUUCAAAAAAAAAAGAAUAUUUAAAUAAGACUUUUGAUUCGGUUUUAUUUCCUAGUACCAAUAGGGAUUUUAUUUUUGCUUUUCAGAAAAUUAUAAUUUGCAGUCGACUUUUCUUCGCCUUUUGCUUUUAAAAAGCUAUACAACACUAGUUCUAAGAUUUUUUUUUGU